rnacentral:tRNA from 2 species
GAAGCAAUACUUUAAAAGAAGAAGACCUAAUUUGCAUUUAGAUAGCGCAUUAUGCUUGCUUCC